AAAGAUUAUUCACGAAGUUCUUCUUCUGAGGCCCAGUGCCACACACCAGAACAAAACCCUAAUCUUCUUUAUCACUCUCUGCAAUUUCAAUUCUCAAUCACAAACAUGUCGCACUUCGGAAGGCAAGGUCCUCCAGACAUCGCUGACACCUACUCUCUCCUCGUCCUCAACAUCACUUUCCGUACAACCGCCGAUGACCUAUUUCCUCUCUUUGAUAAAUACGGCAAAGUUGUUGACAUUUUCAUCCCCAAAGAUCGAAGGACUGGUGAAUCGAGGGGUUUCGCUUUUGUGCGUUAUAAGUAUGCUGAUGAAGCUUCAAAGGCUGUUGAUAGACUCGAUGGAAGAAUGGUCGAUGGUCGUGAAAUAACUGUCCAGUUUGCAAAAUAUGGCCCUAAUGCUGAGAGAAUUCACAAAGGAAGGAUUAUUGAAACAUCCCCAAGAUCAAAGAGCUCAAGGAGCCGCAGUCCCAGCAGGAGGAGGCAUCACGAUGAUUACAGAGACAAGGAUUACAGGAGGAGAAGUCGCAGCAGGAGUUACGAUAGGUAUGGACGUGAUAGGUACCGUGGUGGGCGAGAUAGGGACCAUCGCCGCCGAAGCAGAAGCCGAAGUGCCAGUCCUGAUUACAAGCGCCGUGGAAGGGGGCGCUAUGAUGAUGAGCGUCAUAGUAGAAGCCGGAGCAGAUCAGUAGACAGCCGCUCCCCUGCACGACGCAGUCCUAGUCCAGCAAGGAGCCCUUCUCCUAAAAAGAGUAUUUCUCCCCAAAGGAGUACUUCUCCCAGGAAAAGUCCUCGUCGUGAAAGUCCUGAUAAUCGUAGCCGUGAUGGGAAGUCUCCUACUCCUCGCAGUGUCUCACCUCGAGGUCGCCCUGAUGCAUCUCGAAGCCCAUCUCCUUGAAAUUCAAACGGUGAUGAAUGAGCUGUUUUUCAUGAAGUAUCCCGUGACACCUUGACUACUGUACCUGUUGCUGUGUUGAUAAUAUGGGAUGUUUUCAUCAAUGUGAAUGGUCUUAUCAGAGUCAUUGAAGGAUUUUAUGAUCUAAGUGAAGUUUGUUAUGAUCGGGAAAAGUGAUGGGGGCUUGAUAGGUGCAUGUUCACAUUGUGGCUGUUGAUGCUGUGUCUAUGUUGUUGAUGAUUGUUCGUGAGUUUGGUGCUGGUUGCAAACUGUUUAGUUGACGGUUAGAAAGACGCUUAGUUGACUUGAUUUUUUCAUGAAUGAUCUGAUUUUUGGUAAGCAUUUUUGUUUACUUUCUAUUUUCUUAAAUCCCACACGUCCUCAGAGGAUUCUGAUUUUUGAUCUGGUAAUAAUGAUUGGUCUUUCAUCUUAAAAACUGUCCUGAGACGAAUUCUUGAUGCUGUGAUGGACACAAGUUGAAUGUAUUUUGACACGUGGCUGAUGCCUCAUAGGAGUUGGACCUAUCAUUUGUUGAUUCAGACGCAGAUACUAAACAUAAACUGUGGCACUAAAUAUGAACCCUAAUUGCUGGUGUGUUACUUCAAAUCACCGUGAAGGGGUUAAUGGUAUAUUAAAGGUUCCAUUUUUAGGGUAUUUUCUGAAUACUACUUAUUUAACAUUCACCUUUCAAGUUUAUAACAUCUGCUACAUGAUGUAGUGAGAUGAUUGUUGUACCACACUGCUCCAUGACUGUAGCUGUGAGGUGGUUGCUGAUGCACCUUUAAUAUGAAUGUGUGUUCGUAAUUUGAAGUAUUAACAAAUUACUGUAGCGGACUGGUGCUGCCCUUUUUGCUGUGGUCGGGUUUGCAAUGUUAUUAGCUGCUGUUAGUUGGUACCAAUUACUGAUGAUGUUUGUCUAGCCGUGCUGCUGGUUUCUGUUGAUUCCCAAGCUGCCUGAUAGAACUCUUUUCACUAUUAAGCUUGUUUGUUUUCAUAGUUUCAUCUUUGAUCCUUCGUUCAUUCAUUCAUUUGUACGGCACAAUAUUUGUAUUUGUUAUUUUAUUGAUUGUUACUUACCUAAACAUGAUGUUCCUUGUCAUGGUAUUGUGGUGUGGUUAUUGUUCUGUAACUGAAAUAAACAAUCUAAGUUUUUGAGA